UGUAACAAUCAUCGUUGGUGGUUGUAUUUAAUGUUGUUCACCUGUCUUCAGAGACCACCUGUCACCUGCUGAAGGUAGCGGGUGCGUCUGGUGUGUGGCAGUCUGGUAAUUCCCAGUCAUCCUCCGGGGUCGCCUGCUUCGUCCCCUUCUUAGCCUCCAGAGGAGACCUGGCCCUCGGCAAGACUGUCAAGGACGCAGGCUCAUGGACCAAUUACGCUCCUGGCUACACAGUCGUGGGGGGCGCCAGAUGCGAGGCAGUAUCCACGGGUUGCUACUGCUCGCCCUUACAACUGGUCCCCUACUUGACGGUGGACCUGAGCACCUCCAGCCCCGUCGUCACCGUCGUCGUCACCGUCUCCAGAUUCUACCCAGACUACUUUACAAACGUGGAUAUACGCGUGGGUGACAAAGGGAACAAAUUGGAUACGUUACUGGUGAACUACAAAGGUCCGGCCAGUCCCGGGGAGGUCCUCACACUCACAGGCUCCACCACCCUUGUAGGCCGAUACGUCUCUCUCUUCCGUAGAGGUCUUCUCUCGCAGAGCAUCUGCUUCUGUGUGGUGCAGGUGUACAGUGUGUAGACCUGCCUAGGUUCAUACUGCUUUCGGUCUGAAGGUAAACUGUUCCUUAUAUGAACAAAUAGUCGUCUGCUCCUGUACCAAACAACGUAAAACAAAAUCCAUGGUGAUGCAAAAUCCAAAAAUCCAUCUCUGUACCUGGCAAUUUUAUUCUGGAAGGAAGUUAAGUGCAUUUUAGCCAAGUUAUGAGUGAGCAGUGCGAUUAUUGCCUAACACACGUAACUCUUGAUGAUCAAACCACGCAUCAGAAGAUGAAGAAACGUCCUCGUUUCAUAAUGUUGAUGUGUGGUUGUGUCAUCAUAUCUUCAGCCACGUUAUUGUGACUCUUCGUCUGCACGAGACUCUUGAGUGUGUCCUCUAAGUCCAGCACCCGUGUGAGUAUACUUGAACACUGCUGUUAUAAGUGACUCAUCAUUUAUACAGAAUUGCUGUACAUGACAUAUUGUUGGUGUGUAAAUGCAUAUAGUUCGGAUCUCAAGAAUGAUUUUCACCCUUUAAUAUUAACCAUGAAUAAUAAAGGUGGUAGGCACUGAUGGCUAACUGUAGUAUUGGUCAAAUAAUUUACAGAUGAAUCUCAACAAUAAAGACGAUAAUACUUACAUUCUGUCUCAAUCAUAAUCAGGUUUUUGACUUCAAGUGAAAUGGGUUAAGUAUAUGUGUCGUCGGUGGAAACAUAAUAAAGUUCUUAAUA